rnacentral:rRNA from 1 species
CAUUGACCCUUCGGGUGAUUUGUUGGGCGUCGAGCGGCGGACGGGUGAGUAAUGCCUGGGAAAUUGCCCUGAUGUGGGGGAUAACCAUUGGAAACGAUGGCUAAUACCGCAUAACGUCUACGGACCAAAGAGGGGGACCUUCGGGCCUCUCGCUUCAGGAUAUGCCCAGGUGGGAUUAGCUAGUUGGUGAGGUAAUGGCUCACCAAGGCGACGAUCCCUAGCUGGUCUGAGAGGAUGAUCAGCCACACUGGAACUGAGACACGGUCCAGACUCCUACGGGAGGCAGCAGUGGGGAAUAUUGCACAAUGGGCGCAAGCCUGAUGCAGCCAUGCCGCGUGUAUGAAGAAGGCCUUCGGGUUGUAAAGUACUUUCAGUCGUGAGGAAGGCGUUGAAGUUAAUAGCUUCAUCGUUUGACGUUAGCGACAGAAGAAGCACCGGCUAACUCCGUGCCAGCAGCCGCGGUAAUACGGAGGGUGCGAGCGUUAAUCGGAAUUACUGGGCGUAAAGCGCAUGCAGGUGGUUUGUUAAGUCAGAUGUGAAAGCCCGGGGCUCAACCUCGGAACCGCAUUUGAAACUGGCAGGCUAGAGUACUGUAGAGGGGGGUAGAAUUUCAGGUGUAGCGGUGAAAUGCGUAGAGAUCUGAAGGAAUACCAGUGGCGAAGGCGGCCCCCUGGACAGAUACUGACACUCAGAUGCGAAAGCGUGGGGAGCAAACAGGAUUAGAUACCCUGGUAGUCCACGCCGUAAACGAUGUCUACUUGGAGGUUGUGGCCUUGAGCCGUGGCUUUCGGAGCUAACGCGUUAAGUAGACCGCCUGGGGAGUACGGUCGCAAGAUUAAAACUCAAAUGAAUUGACGGGGGCCCGCACAAGCGGUGGAGCAUGUGGUUUAAUUCGAUGCAACGCGAAGAACCUUACCUACUCUUGACAUCCAGAGAACUUAGCAGAGAUGCUUUGGUGCCUUCGGGAACUCUGAGACAGGUGCUGCAUGGCUGUCGUCAGCUCGUGU